UGGGAUAGUUGGAAUACUAUGACUAGAUAUACAAUGGCUUGUAAACAACUACAAUGAUAUUACACAUCACUUUCUGUACUACAUUUAUGUGCAUUUGGAUCUCGCCAAGGCUAAGAAAUCUGCGUCGCAGCCCCAACUAAUGCAUCAACUUGGAACCAAGUUCCACCCUCUAAUAAUCAGGUAGUUUGAGGAAGCAUAUGAUCAUCUUACUACUAUAAAUCCUCAACAACCUCUGCAUCUGGGAAUGCUGGCAGGAAAGGGUUAUCUGAUAUGGUCAUGAAUGUUGAUUUAACAUGAAUACUUGCAUAUAUGCCACAUGUCACGUGUCAGCAUAUUUGAUCUAAUAUGAUAUUUGAU